GAUGAAGAACUCAGCGAAAUGCGAGAAGUAAUGUGAAUUGCAGAAUUCAGUGAAUCAUCGAAUCUUUGAACGCACAUUGCGCCCCUUGGUAUUCCGAGGGGCAUGCCUGUUCGAGCGUCAUUAUAACCCCUCAAGCUCAGCUUGGUGUUGGGGCCUGCUGCACUGGCAGCCCUUAAAAUCAGUGGCGGCGCCAUCUGGCUCUAAGCGUAGUAAUUCUUCUCGCUAUGGAGUCCUGGUGGAUGCUUGCCAUCAACCCCCAAUUUUUCUAUGGUUGACCUCGGAUCAGGUAGGGAUACCCGCUGAACUUAAGCAUAUCAAUAAGCGGAGGA
rnacentral:misc_RNA from 1 species